GUUUAUAUAAUGCACACUACACAAACACACUGCAUUAUAUACACACACUAUACAAACACACACACUCUGCAUUAUAUAAACACACUACAUUCACUUUACACACACUACACAAAUACACACACACUCUGCAUUCAUUAUAUACACACACACUUUGCAUUUAGUAUAUACAGCAUUCACUUUACGCACACUACCCACACACUACACAAACACUCUGCUUUCAUUAUAUACACACUACACUAAUACACACUGCAUCCACUACACACACUAGACGAAUACACACUGCAUCCACUACACAAACACACAUUGCAUCCUCUACACACACUACACAAACACACACUGCAU